rnacentral:rRNA from 1 species
AUGGAAACUAAAUUUCAUGAUCUGGAUGUCAAGGUGACAGGAAUUGCCACAAAUGUUGAGAAGUUCAAAGAAGAUGUUGAAGCAAAGCUGAGCAGUGACGAUGAUGAUGCACUACCUACUACCACCCAGUUCCAGACUAUGUCUAGGCCAACCGUUGUUGUCGUUACAUCAAAUGCUCCUGCCACAGAGACGGCCCCGGCUGCUGUUCCUACUACCGCACCACCUGUGUCCAACCCUCUUGUCCAGCAGACUUCGUUAGAAGCAUUUGCGGAUGCACUUAGCUCCACUCUCAUCGACCCACACCAGAGCUGCAAGCCAGAGGGCUUCAUCGCCAGCUGCUGUUGA